AGCCGAUCCUAAGGGACGGGGUAACCCCGGCAGAUAGCGCGAUCACGCGCAUCCCCCGAAAGGGAAUCGGGUUAAGAUUUCCCGAGCCGGGAUGUGGCGGUGUACGGCGACGUUAGGAAGUCCGGAGACGCCGGCGGGGGCCUCGGGAAGAGUUAUCUUUUCUGCUUAACGGCCUGCCAACCCUGGAAACGGUUCAGCCGGAGGUAGGGUCCAGUGGCCGGAAGAGCACCGCACGUCGC
rnacentral:ncRNA from 1 species